rnacentral:rRNA from 1 species
UACGUAGGGCGCAAGCGUUGUCCGGAAUUAUUGGGCGUAAAGAGCUCGUAGGCGGUCUGUCGCGUCUGUUGUGAAAACUCGAGGCUCAACCUCGGGCUUGCAGUGGAUACGGGCAGACUAGAGUGCGGUAGGGGAGACUGGAAUUCCGUGGUGUAGCGGUGGAAUGCGCAGAUAUCAGGAGGAACACCGAUGGCGAAGGCAGGUCUCUGGGCCGCAACUGACGCUGAGGAGCGAAAGCAUGGGGAGCGAACAGGG